rnacentral:rRNA from 1 species
UUGAUGGCGACCGGCGCACGGGUGAGUAACACGUAUCCAACCUUCCGUUUACUCAGGGAUAGCCUUUCGAAAGAAAGAUUAAUACCUGAUAGUAUGGUGAGAUUGCAUGAUAGCACCAUUAAAGAUUUAUUGGUAAACGAUGGGGAUGCGUUCCAUUAGGUAGUAGGCGGGGUAACGGCCCACCUAGCCGACGAUGGAUAGGGGUUCUGAGAGGAAGGUCCCCCACAUUGGAACUGAGACACGGUCCAAACUCCUACGGGAGGCAGCAGUGAGGAAUAUUGGUCAAUGGGCGAGAGCCUGAACCAGCCAAGUAGCGUGAAGGAUGAAGGUCCUACGGAUUGUAAACUUCUUUUAUACGGGAAUAAAGUAUCCUACGUGUAGGAUUUUGUAUGUACUUUAUGAAUAAGGAUCGGCUAACUCCGUGCCAGCAGCCGCGGUAAUACGGAGGAUGCGAGCGUUAUCCGGAUUUAUUGGGUUUAAAGGGAGCGCAGACGGGAGAUUAAGUCAGUUGUGAAAGUUUGCGGCUCAACCGUAAAAUUGCAGUUGAUACUGGUUUCCUUGAGUGCAGUCGAGGCAGGCGGAAUUCGUGGUGUAGCGGUGAAAUGCUUAGAUAUCACGAAGAACCCCGAUUGCGAAGG